GGGUUGUGAGGUUAAGCGACUAAGCGUACACGGUGGAUGCCCUGGCAGUCAGAGGCGAUGAAGGGCGUGCUAAUCUGCGAUAAGCGCCGGUAAGGUGAUAUGAACCGUUAUAACCGGCGAUACCCGAAUGGGGAAACCCAGUGUGAUUCGUCACACUAUCAUUAACUGAAUCCAUAGGUUAAUGAGGCGAACCGGGGGAACUGAAACAUCUAAGUACCCCGAGGAAAAGAAAUCAACCGAGAUUCCCCCAGUAGCGGCGAGCGAACGGGGAGGAGCCCAGAGCCUGAAUCAGCAUGUGUGUUAGUGGAAGCGUCUGGAAAGGCGCGCGAUACAGGGUGACAGCCCCGUACACAAAAGCGCAUGUGCUGUGAGCUCGAUGAGUAGGGCGGGACACGUGGUAUCCUGUCUGAAUAUGGGGGGACCAUCCUCCAAGGCUAAAUACUCCUGACUGACCGAUAGUGAACCAGUACCGUGAGGGAAAGGCGAAAAGAACCCCGGCGAGGGGAGUGAAAAAGAACCUGAAACCGUGUACGUACAAGCAGUGGGAGCACCCUUUGGGUGUGACUGCGUACCUUUUGUAUAAUGGGUCAGCGACUUAUAUUCUGUAGCAAGGUUAACCGAAUAGGGGAGCCGGAGGGAAACCGAGUCUUAAUUGGGCGUUAAGUUGCAGGGUAUAGACCCGAAACCCGGUGAUCUAGCCAUGGGCAGGUUGAAGGUUGGGUAACACUAACUGGAGGACCGAACCGACUAAUGUUGAAAAAUUAGCGGAUGACCUGUGGCUGGGGGUGAAAGGCCAAUCAAACCGGGAGAUAGCUGGUUCUCCCCGAAAGCUAUUUAGGUAGCGCCUCGUGAAUUCAUCUCCGGGGGUAGAGCACUGUUUCGGCUAGGGGGCCAUCCCGGCUUACCAACCCGAUGCAAACUGCGAAUACCGGAGAAUGUUAUCACGGGAGACACACGGCGGGUGCUAACGUCCGUCGUGAAGAGGGAAACAACCCAGACCGCCAGCUAAGGUCCCAAAGUCAUGGUUAAGUGGGAAACGAUGUGGGAAGGCCCAGACAGCCAGGAUGUUGGCUUAGAAGCAGCCAUCAUUUAAAGAAAGCGUAAUAGCUCACUGGUCGAGUCGGCCUGCGCGGAAGAUGUAACGGGGCUAAACCAUGCACCGAAGCUGCGGCAGCGACACUGUGUGUUGUUGGGUAGGGGAGCGUUCUGUAAGCCUGCGAAGGUGGCCUGUGAGGGUUGCUGGAGGUAUCAGAAGUGCGAAUGCUGACAUAAGUAACGAUAAAGCGGGUGAAAAGCCCGCUCGCCGGAAGACCAAGGGUUCCUGUCCAACGUUAAUCGGGGCAGGGUGAGUCGACCCCUAAGGCGAGGCCGAAAGGCGUAGUCGAUGGGAAACGGGUUAAUAUUCCCGUACUUGGUGUUACUGCGAAGGGGGGACGGAGAAGGCUAUGUUGGCCGGGCGACGGUUGUCCCGGUUUAAGCGUGUAGGUGUGUGUUCCAGGUAAAUCCGGUUCACUUUAACACUGAGGCGUGACGACGAGGCACUACGGUGCUGAAGCAACAAAUGCCCUGCUUCCAGGAAAAGCCUCUAAGCAUCAGGUAACAUCAAAUCGUACCCCAAACCGACACAGGUGGUCAGGUAGAGAAUACCAAGGCGCUUGAGAGAACUCGGGUGAAGGAACUAGGCAAAAUGGUGCCGUAACUUCGGGAGAAGGCACGCUGACACGUAGGUGAAGUGAUUUACUCAUGGAGCUGAAGUCAGUCGAAGAUACCAGCUGGCUGCAACUGUUUAUUAAAAACACAGCACUGUGCAAACACGAAAGUGGACGUAUACGGUGUGACGCCUGCCCGGUGCCGGAAGGUUAAUUGAUGGGGUCAGCGCAAGCGAAGCUCCUGAUCGAAGCCCCGGUAAACGGCGGCCGUAACUAUAACGGUCCUAAGGUAGCGAAAUUCCUUGUCGGGUAAGUUCCGACCUGCACGAAUGGCGUAAUGAUGGCCAGGCUGUCUCCACCCGAGACUCAGUGAAAUUGAACUCGCUGUGAAGAUGCAGUGUACCCGCGGCAAGACGGAAAGACCCCGUGAACCUUUACUAUAGCUUGACACUGAACAUUGAGCCUUGAUGUGUAGGAUAGGUGGGAGGCUUUGAAGUGUGGACGCCAGUCUGCAUGGAGCCGACCUUGAAAUACCACCCUUUAAUGUUUGAUGUUCUAACGUGGACCCGUUACCCGGGUUGCGGACAGUGUCUGGUGGGUAGUUUGACUGGGGCGGUCUCCUCCUAAAGAGUAACGGAGGAGCACGAAGGUUGGCUAAUCCUGGUCGGACAUCAGGAGGUUAGUGCAAUGGCAUAAGCCAGCUUGACUGCGAGCGUGACGGCGCGAGCAGGUGCGAAAGCAGGUCAUAGUGAUCCGGUGGUUCUGAAUGGAAGGGCCAUCGCUCAACGGAUAAAAGGUACUCCGGGGAUAACAGGCUGAUACCGCCCAAGAGUUCAUAUCGACGGCGGUGUUUGGCACCUCGAUGUCGGCUCAUCACAUCCUGGGGCUGAAGUAGGUCCCAAGGGUAUGGCUGUUCGCCAUUUAAAGUGGUACGCGAGCUGGGUUUAGAACGUCGUGAGACAGUUCGGUCCCUAUCUGCCGUGGGCGCUGGAGAACUGAGGGGGGCUGCUCCUAGUACGAGAGGACCGGAGUGGACGCAUCACUGGUGUUCGGGUUGUCAUGCCAAUGGCACUGCCCGGUAGCUAAAUGCGGAAGAGAUAAGUGCUGAAAGCAUCUAAGCACGAAACUUGCCCCGAGAUGAGUUCUCCCUGAGACUUAGAGUCUCCUGAAGGAACGUUGAAGACGACGACGUUGAUAGGCCGGGUGUGUAAGCGCAGCGAUGCGUUGAGCUAACCGGUACUAAUGAACCGUGAGGCUUAACCUUACAACGCCGAAG
rnacentral:rRNA from 3 species